GCCCGAGUAGCUCAGUCUGGAUAGAGCAUCAGGUUCCUAACCUGGUUGUCAUAGGUUCAAAUCCUAUCUCGGGCA
rnacentral:tRNA from 1 species